GACCACCCUGGCCUCCAAAUCCUCCUUGUUGACCACCCUGGCCUCCAAAUCCUCCUUGUUGACCACCCUGGCCUCCAAAUCCUCCUUGAGGACCGCCCUGCUGGCCUCCAAAUCCUCCUUGGCCAACACCAAGGCCUAGAGAUCGGAAUAGAAAACGUUGAACUCCA